rnacentral:lncRNA from 1 species
ACGAGCCCAAAAUAUUAUACAUAUGGUCCAUGGACGCAGUCGAAAGUAAAACAUACAUUCAUAUAUCUUGAAAACGAGUCUUUAGCAAAAGAUGUCCAAUCUACACCAGCUCCUACAGUUCCGUGAGUGCUACGGUCUUUUCUACUGGUCACCUGCAAAAGGAUGUGAGGAGUGAGUGAACUAGUUUCACUCAGUGAGCCAGGGUUCCCUAUCUAGCAUAUAUAACUACCCGUCAUUUUAAACCCAACCCCAAACACAAGCAAGACGGGUAGUUCAACAAUCAGUAUUCAAGAUCAUAAAGCAAUACCGAUUUAAGCAAUAAAGCUUUAAACCAUAUUUAAUCAAAACACUCUUUAUGAGUGUCAUUCAAUAAACCAUAUACAUGUACUCCUAGGGCCCAACAGAAUCAUUCUUCCUCCACAUAAGGGACACCGGCAAUCCCUUCACUAUUACACCACACAGGCGUAGGCGCUCGGGAAUCGCCCGGUCACGGUCCUCAAUCGGAAUCACCGUGCCCCGGUCCUCUAUCGGACUCGCCGGGGGCUGUCACAUCCACGUGUGACACCCGGCCUCGGUGAUCAAGCCAAGUUAAACCGAGCCCACCACUUUCCGGACCACGACCGGCUUAGUGGUACCAUUUGAGAAAGCAAUGACCUGCAACUACUACUAGAACCACCACGAGGUUCUCACACAACAAUACCAACACGAGGUACCCACUAUAACAACAUAUAAUAAUUACACAAUCGCAAUAAUCCGGGUGCUUAGACUAGUCUUGCUAUCCACUUAGCCUAGACAUCGUCUCAAGCCUCGGAUCCACAAACUGACACCUAGCCCGGUCCGGCUAUCCUAGCUCGGAAACCGUCUCCGAUGUCAGGAGCCUGCAUUAAAAAUUUGUUAACAAACAAUUAACCGUGACUCACAGUGAUUAACCGAUGUGGCUUGACUUUCUGAUUCCGGAAGCUGACCAAACCCUUUUUAUUCUUCCAAAUCUUCGUCUUGAUUACGUACCGUUAAUCUCGCAAUCUUGUAACACGUCUUGCCUCUCUAAGCAGCUCCUUAAAUAUAUUAUUUAUUUUCCUUCUUUUUUUUUUCUAUUUCUUUUCUCUCUUUCUUUUAUUUCUCUUCUCUCCUGUUCUUUUUCUCCUUCUCUCUCUUGGUCGUUGAUGUUCUGAUCGUGAGAAAAUGGAGGGACUUUGCUUCAUUUAUAUAGUCAACCAAGAUGUAUGAGGUGGUGACAAGUAUCACACUCUUCUUCCCAUCUUUGACCACGUUUUCAAAGCAAUGACUAAGUCAUUUGCUUCCUAGUUGGCCACGUGAUACUCAUAAGCAUGAGCAAGCAUAUUAAUUUAUUUUCUUCCUUUCUUAUAUAGACACCUGAUGAUGACAAAGCAAACCUGUAUGAUUCAUUCUCCUUUCCUUCCCAUCAAACACGUUGAUUGCAACCAAGCCAUAAGAAAUAUAAAAUAUUUCUUUAUCUCCUCUUUUCUUCUCAGCUUGAUUAAUUAACCCAAACUUAGUAAUCAAAACACCAUUCUCAUCGAUCACUUUUCUCCUUUUAAAAGAUAUAGCUUAAUUAUCCAAUUAAGCUACUAACUUACUUUCAAUGCAUCGAUCACUUUUUGUCUUUAGCUUUGUAUUUUUCUUUCCAGAAAAAUUUAUUUCUGAGAAUUUAUUAUGUUGAAUUAUUUAUUUAAAAAUAAUUCUUUCUCAGAAAGACGGGAUAUUACAUCCUCCUCCCCUUAUUAGAAUUCGUCCCCGAAUUCUCUAGGAUGAUCCCUUUUCUUCCAUCACUACGUCUUCAUGGAAGAAUUCUGGAUGCGAUGCUUUGAAUCUUGACUCAUCCUCCCAGGUCACAAUUACAUGGUUUCGCUUACCCCAGAAGACUUGGAUUUGAGGAAUCUCUUGGUUCUUUAGUUUUCGUAUUCGACGUUCACCUAUUCGGAUCGGUCCCUGUGGAUAAGUGAGAUUUGUUUGCAAGUUUUCAAUUUGCUCCGUCUCAAUAGCUUUGGGAUCAUGAACAUGCUUCCGUAGCAUUGAUACGUGAAACACCGGAUGUAUCCGCAUUUCUUCGGGCAGGUUGAGACGGUAAGCAACAUCUCCGAUUCGUUCUUCAAUCUGGUAAGGCCCAAUGAAUCUUACCGCAAGUUUCCCGACUUUCCCGAAUCGAUCUUUUCCUUUCUGAGCUGACACUUUCAGAUAAACCCAAUCACCAAUACUGAACACCACUUCUCGCCUUGAUUGAUCGGCGUAUUUCUUUUGUCUAUCCUGCGCUUUUUUCAUAUUGGUUUGAAUGAUCUCCAACUUUUUCAUCGUCUCUUCUACAAUUUCGGGUCCAAACUCUCUUCUUUCUCCAACUUCGGUCCAACAUAAAGGUGUUUUGCAUGGCCUCCCAUAAAGCGCCUCAUAUGGUGCCAUACCUAUGCUAGAAUGAAAGCUGUUGUUGUAGGAGAACUCGAUUAAUGGUAAAUGCUUUUCCCAGCUUCCCGCCCAAUCCAAUAUACACAUCCGCAUCAUAUCCUCUAUGGUUCGAAUGGUUCUUUCGGUUUGGCCGUCCGUCUCGGGAUGAUACGCGGUGCUAAUAAACAACUUAGUUCCCACUGCUUUUUGUAACGCCUUCCAAAAAUUUGAGGUGAAUCUAGGAUCUCGAUCAGAGACUAUAUCUGUUGGCACACCAUGCAACUUCACAAUCUGAUCCACGUACAUCUCUGUCAAUACUUCUACCUUAUCGGUUUCCUUCAUAGGUAACAAGUGCGCCACUUUUGUCAAUCUGUCGACAAUCACCCAUAUUGCAUUAUUUGAUCUUCCUCUAGCCGGCGGUAACCCAGUGAUGAAGUCCAUGGAUAUGGAAUCCCAUUUCCACUGAGGUACUGGUAAGCUUUGUAAUAAUCCUCCUGGAAUCUGAUGCUCGACUUUGACUUGUUGACAAGUUUGGCAUUGAGCCACCCAUCGCGCCACUGACUUCUUCAUUCCUGGCCAAUGAUAAUACUUUCGGAUAUCUCGAUACAUUUUCGUACUCCCGGGAUGGAUACUGAGUAACGAGUGAUGCGCCGACUUCAAAAUUUCAUCUCGUAGCCCUUCUCCCUGUGGUACUGAUAUCCUCCCAUUAAGUAAAAGUGUACCAUCUGCCGCCACAUGAUAACCACUUGGGUUUGUACCUUCAGGAUUCUUGACUUCCUCGAUGAUUAUCUUUAGCUUUUCAUCACAUUCUUGCUCUUUUCUGAUCCGUGCGAGUAAACCUGCUUGGUCUACGGCACGCGUGCCUAAGGACUCACUUGGUUCUCCCUCAAUUGCCUGUAACGUCAUCAACUUGAGUUCAUUUGAUAACGCUUCCACUUCCUUUCCAACAUCAGACGCCAACUUUCUACGACUUAGUGCAUCUGCGACAACAUUAGCUUUGCCUGGAUGAUAUUGAAUCUUCAAGUCGUAAUCCGCCACAAACUCCAUCCAUCGCCUUUGUCGGAGGUUUAGAUCAGGCUGUGUGAACAAGUACUUGAGACUCUUAUGAUCUGUGAAUACUUCCACGACUUCUCCAUAUAAGUAGGAUCUCCAAAUCCUUAACGCAAACACCACUGCCGCCAUUUCUAAAUCGUGUGUUGGGUAGUUCUCUUCAUGUUUCCUGAGUUGCCUUGAUGCAUAAGCAAUUACUUUGCCUUCCUGCAUCAACACACAACCCAACCCAACCCUAGAAGCAUCUGCGUACACAGUGUAAGGUUUACCUUGUUCAGGUAAUGCCAAUACUGGUGUUGUGGUCAAAGCUUUCUUCAGUCUCUGAAAUGCUUCCACUGUUUCUUUUCCCCAGAUGAACGGAACUCCUUUUCCAGUCAACUUCGUUAGGGGCUUAGCGAUUGAGGAAAAGUCCUUGACGAACUUUCGAUAAUACCCGGCUAACCCGAGGAAACUUCUUACCUCGGUUACCGUUGAUGGCCUUUGCCAUUCCUCGAUGGCUUUCACCUUUUCCGAAUCUACAGAAACUCCUUCUCCGGACACUCGGUGCCCUAAGAAUCCGAUCUCUCUUUUCCAAAAAGAACACUUACUGAACUUUGCAUACAACCUCUGGUUUCUUAACCGUUCCAACACUAGCUUCAAGUGUGCUUUGUGCUCUACCUCUGUCUUGGAAUAUAUUAAAAUAUCAUCGAUGAAGAUUAUCACGAACUUGUCGAGAUAAUCGUGGAAGACUUCAUUCAUCAAUCUCAUGAAGGCCGCCGGUGCGUUAGUAAGUCCAAAUGGCAUUACGACAAACUCGUAUUGUCCAUAACGAGUUCUAAACGCAGUCUUCAUGAAAUCACCUUCUGAAAUUGGAAUCUGAUGAUAGCCCGACGCCAAGUCGAUCUUUGAAAACCAACUUGCUCCCCUUAACUGAUCCAACAAUUCGUCUAUCCUCGGAAGGGGAUACUUAUCUUUGAUGGUGAUAUUGUUGAUUCCUCGAUAAUCAAUGCAAAGCCGCAUGCUACCAUCUUUCUUCUUGACAAAUAAGACCGGAGCUCCCCAUGGUGAAGAGCUAGGUCUUAUGAAACCUUUGUCCAUUAAAUCUUCAAGUUGUGUCUUCAACUCUGCUAACUCUGCAGGUGCCAUGCGGUAAGGAGCCUUUGCUAUCGGCUUAGCUCCAGGUUCCAAGUUAAUUGUGAAAGGGUUACUCCGAGGUGGAGGUAACUCUUUUAACGCUGCAAACACAUCCUCAAACUCUUGUACUACCGCAAUAUCCGUAAUUUUAACUUCAUUGCUAACGGGUCCUUCACUAGCAGUUACUGUUACCAGAUACGCUUCUCCAUCCUUAAGCAAAUCUUCCACUCUCAAGGCAGCUACUAAAGACACAGAUUUGCUUGGACUGAUCCCGUAGAAUACUAUUUGCCGUUGCCCGUUCUCUUUGAACAAAAUACGACCUUUUUCACAAUCUAAUUGAGCCCGAUAGCCUGAUAACCAAUCCAUGCCCAGAAUAACCUCAUAUCCCUUUAAGGGCACCACCAACAAAUCUGCCACAAACAUCUUCUCGCAAAUGACUAACGGAACUCUUCUGAGGCACUCUUUUGCUUGUAGGGUUUGGUCUCCGGGAGUUAUCACAGCCACAUGCAUCCUGUCAAUCACAAAUGAUCUCACAAACUCGGCAGCUACCUCAGGGGUCACAAAGCUAUGUGUUGCCCCCGAGUCGAACAAUACAUGUGUGGGACGCCCCGCAACAUGUAAAGUUCCUGCCACAACAUCAAUAUGUAUCAACAACAUAAAAAUUAUCCAACAGAAAUUAAUCAAUCCAUCACAAGCAAUCACUCAACACAAAAUCAAUCUAGUAAAGUUAAAGAACCCAAAUACCUGUGAUGGGACCCUUAGAUGGGCCUGGAAGUUUAGUAUCCUCUAGUUCUAAAGCGUAAACUCUACCUCCUAUAGCUUGCCUUUUUGGCGCUGGUGCGAUUGCAGGUGGAGCCGGGGGAGGAUGGACACUGAUUGGCGUAGCCGGGAUAGGACGAUUGACACUGUACUGUGUAGAGAUGUGUCCUUUCUUUCCACACGUGUAGCAUGUAGGAUUGUAGGAGUUUGACUGAAAGGAUCCAGGUUUCUUUCCGAAGCAUUCACUCGACUUAUGGCCUAUCUUGCCACAGUUAAAGCAUUUUCCUGUGAAUAGAGAUCGUCGAGUUGGCCUUCCUGAUUCCUUUUCCUUAUCUUUACCCUUAAAUGAUCUUUGAUUUCCACCAUACUUUCCUUGUUCAUGCUGCUUGGACUUUUUACUUGCCGCCUUCUCAGCUUCUAAUCCGAUCUCUACAUUCACAGCUUUUUCCACUAGGUCGGUGAGACUCUCGUAGUUCCCGACUGCCAGUCUAUUUUCUAACUCUGGUUUUAAACCAAACAUAAAGUUGGAUAUCAUGGUUUCUUCAUCAUCUUGUCCCUGCAGCACAUGUCGUCGCAGUCGCAUGAACUCCGAUUCAUAUUCUCUAACUGUCUUGUCUCCUUGUGCUAGGUUAGCAAACUGACGUUGAAGCCUUCGCUUGGACUCCGGGGUGAAAUACUUGCGUUCAAAUUCCUUUUUGAAUGCCGCCCAAGUGGUGACCAGAUGUCCUACUUGGCGAUUCCUGUUUUCCCACCAUUCUGCCGCAUCUUUUUCUAAGUAAUACACCGCCAUCUUUUUCUUAGACUCUUCAGAACACGUCAGGGUCUCAAAGUUUUUCUCCAUAGUUCGAAGCCACUGGUCAGCUUCAAAUGGGUCUGUCCCUCCUUCAAAAUGUGGUGUCUUCAUGUUUUUCAUGGCAGUUAUCAAUGGUAACAUCGGUGUAGCCACUGUAGGUUGUGGUGGUACGAGUGGCUGAGGUUGCACCUGAGGUUGUUGCAGUGACCUCGCUAUCACGUCAUGAAGCAUCUUCAGAGUAUGCUCCAUUCCUAUUCCUUGUUGUGGUUGAUCAUGAACUUCUUGUUCAAUCGGGUUGCUCCGUCUUAUUGGUCUUGGUCCUUGGACACUUGACUCACUAUCAUCUGUUUCUGGUCUUUCCCUUACACUACGGUUCGGUGGAAAGUGUUCUUCUUGUGGCCUUGACUGGUCGUGCCCAAACAGAUUGUCAUUUUCCACUAUGUUAUCUUCGCUGAACUCCUGGUUGGUGUGUGCUAGUGUUUGCACUCUUACGUCGGAUUCAUAUCCCAGCCCUCGUCUUCUUGAGAUUCUUCCUGUACCCAGCAUCCAAUCCUGUCCCCCUUCACUCCUUCCCCUUCUUGCCAUCUGCAAUCCAUAAACAGGGAAUUUCCUAUUUAGAAUAAUAAUUAGAACGGAACUCUGCUGGUUUCCUAAUACAUCUUUUGCGACACAUUUGACUCGAUAAAACAUGAAAAAUGCGUGAUUGACCGCAUGAUCUAAACCAUGCUCUGAUACCACCUCUGUAACACCCCCGAACCAUUUAAGACAUCGGUCAGUCAGUCGAGCAACAAUCAAACAAGAACAUGCCCGAACGACCUUCCUCUGCUAAGUCUGGAAGUGUCACAACGGGUUUAGAAUAGACUUUCCAAGUCACAAAACAUAAUUCUGUAACCCAGAAUAUCCAUUCAAAACUCGUUUCCUCUAAUCUUCGGCCUGAGGCUUUGCAACCCGUACCGAGUCAUAGAGUUGUGUUAGGUUGGACUAACCUAAUAUCAGAUUCAACACGUCACGAAUAUUAAACAUACUUUAUUCCAUAUAUAUAUAAAACAUGAAGUUCACGAGCCCAAAAUAUUAUACAUAUGGUCCAUGGACGCAGUCGAAAGUAAAACAUACAUUCAUAUAUCUUGAAAACGAGUCUUUAGCAAAAGAUGUCCAAUCUACACCAGCUCCUACAGUUCCAUGAGUGCUACGGUCUUUUCUACUGGUCACCUGCAAAAGGAUGUGAGGAGUGAGUGAACUAGUUUCACUCAGUGAGCCAGGGUUCCCUAUCUAGCAUAUAUAACUACCCGUCAUUUUAAACCCAACCCCAAACACAAGCAAGACGGGUAGUUCAACAAUCAGUAUUCAAGAUCAUAAAGCAAUACCGAUUUAAGCAAUAAAGCUUUAAACCAUAUUUAAUCAAAACACUCUUUAUGAGUGUCAUUCAAUAAACCAUAUACAUGUACUCCUAGGGCCCAACAGAAUCAUUCUUCCUCCACAUAAGGGACACCGGCAAUCCCUUCACUAUUACACCACACAGGCGUAGGCGCUCGGGAAUCGCCCGGUCACGGUCCUCAAUCGGAAUCACCGUGCCCCGGUCCUCUAUCGGACUCGCCGGGGGCUGUCACAUCCACGUGUGACACCCGGCCUCGGUGAUCAAGCCAAGUUAAACCGAGCCCACCACUUUCCGGACCACGACCGGCUUAGUGGUACCAUUUGAGAAAGCAAUGACCUGCAACUACUACUAGAACCACCACGAGGUUCUCACACAACAAUACCAACACGAGGUACCCACUAUAACAACAUAUAAUAAUUACACAAUCGCAAUAAUCCGGGUGCUUAGACUAGUCUUGCUAUCCACUUAGCCUAGACAUCGUCUCAAGCCUCGGAUCCACAAACUGACACCUAGCCCGGUCCGGCUAUCCUAGCUCGGAAACCGUCUCCGAUGUCAGGAGCCUGCAUUAAAAAUUUGUUAACAAACAAUUAACCGUGACUCACAGUGAUUAACCGAUGUGGCUUGACUUUCUGAUUCCGGAAGCUGACCAAACCCUUUUUAUUCUUCCAAAUCUUCGUCUUGAUUACGUACCGUUAAUCUCGCAAUCUUGUAACACGUCUUGCCUCUCUAAGCAGCUCCUUAAAUAUAUUAUUUAUUUUCCUUCUUUUUUUUUUUCUAUUUCUUUUCUCUCUUUCUUUUAUUUCUCUUCUCUCCUGUUCUUUUUCUCCUUCUCUCUCUUGGUCGUUGAUGUUCUGAUCGUGAGAAAAUGGAGGGACUUUGCUUCAUUUAUAUAGUCAACCAAGAUGUAUGAGGUGGUGACAAGUAUCACACUCUUCUUCCCAUCUUUGACCACGUUUUCAAAG